CAGAGCCGCAGGGUUGCCCAACCUCUGCAGAGGCUCUGGCAGUCUGUGUGAGGCACAGGGGAUGGGACAGCAUGCGUGCGUGUUUGGGACCACAAAGUCCGCCCUGGAGCCCAGGUGUUCACCUUGGAGAAGUAAAGGCACAUGUCUACACAAAGGACUGUACCCAGAUGAUUGUAGGAAACUUAUUCGUGAGAGCCUCCAAUUGGAAACACCCCACAAACGUCCAACAACGGACUCAGCCUGAAGGGACUUUAGAGAGGAUGGCGCCCAACUCCCUCGCCUUACAGGAAAAGCCAGGGCAGCCGAGGGCUUUGCCGGAGUCGCUCCGUUCUUUGGAGGUAGAUGCAGGGCUUGGACCCCCAGCCUGCACCUUCCAUCUCCACGCCACGGUCCAUCCACACACGUGCCUUACAUCAUCAGCUUCCAGAAGACAAAUUGAAACGAAUUUCAACAAACAAAUGGAAACAAAGUGAAGCGAAUGGGGAAGUGGAUACCAGACUUGCCCACCGCAGAAGUUCAGGGCCCAGAGGCGCCAGGGCAUAGACGGCAGAGCGAGGCCAGGGCAGACCAGGCUGCUCCCAGCAGAAAACAGUGUGGUGUGUGGGGAGACGGGUGAGUGGGGCAGGAUUUGGGGGGAUUUUAAGAAAGUAGUAUUAACAUAUGG